GUUUCUGUAGUGUAGUGGUUAUCACGUUCGCUUUACACGCGAAAGGUCCCCGGUUCGAAACCGGGCAGAAACA